rnacentral:rRNA from 1 species
GGGCUGGAUCUCUCGGGGUUACAGCCUUGCUGAAUUAUUCACCCUUGUCUUUUGCGUACUUCUUGUUUCCUUGGUGGGUUCGCCCACCACUAGGACAAACAUAAACCUUUUGUAAUUGCAAUCAGCGUCAGUAACAAAUUAAUAAUUACAACUUUCAACAACGGAUCUCUUGGUUCUGGCAUCGAUGAAGAACGCAGCGAAAUGCGAUAAGUAGUGUGAAUUGCAGAAUUCAGUGAAUCAUCGAAUCUUUGAACGCACAUUGCGCCCUUUGGUAUUCCAAAGGGCAUGCCUGUUCGAGCGUCAUUUGUACCCUCAAGCUUUGCUUGGUGUUGGGCGUCUUGUCUCUAGCUUUGCUGGAGACUCGCCUUAAAGUAAUUGGCAGCCGGCCUACUGGUUUCGGAGCGCAGCACAAGUCGCACUCUCUAUCAGCAAAGGUCUAGCAUCCAUUAAGCCUUUUUUCAACUUUUGACCUCGGAUCAGGUAGGGAUACCCGCUGAACUUAAGCAUAUC